rnacentral:lncRNA from 1 species
AAUUACUACUUAUAUAUAUAUUUGCUUUUGCUGUACAACAUUUUAAUAUGUUAUCUCCAAAUAGUAUAAAUAGAACACUUCUGCAAUUCUUCAUUUGUCAUUAGGGUUAUGCAACACAUCGUAGCUUAGAUUUUUACUUAGCCAUGGCUUAGAUCCUCUUUGCAGCGCCAUACAAUGGCCACACCCAGCUCAAUUCAGCUCCAACACCACAGCAAGGAGCUUUAGGACGGCCAGCUCCAGCACAGCCAUGGCCAACUCGGCCAUGGCUGCUCAGCUCCAGCUCUCAACCACGGCUUCCCAGCUCCAACUCCAGCACAACACAGCUCUGCCAUGGCCGCCCAGCUCCAGCUCUCAACCAUGGCUUUGCAGCUCCAACUCUAGCACAGCCAUGGCUGCCCAGUUCCAGUGAAAUACGUGCCCGGGGAUUUCUGGAUGAGACCUGGAUCUGGAGUGCGGCCAACCACACCAGCAUUCCAAUCCAGGUAUGGCGUUCUCUGAAAUCUGUGUGUUUCUAUGGUGCUGUUCAUUUCUAGAGCCUACAUUUAUGUUCUUCAGAAAUUUGCUAGGCAAUAUGUGUCUUGACUAAGGUGGAGUUCUUUAGCUCCAGCUCUUCCCAGCUCCUGGGGACAAUGCAGCAGAUUUGCCUUGGGUUUGACAUGAACCAUAGGAAUAUUCCAAGAAUAUUCUAUAGCAUGUGGGAUUUAAGGCUGUAUUGCAUUAAGGGUUGGGAGAUUGGCCUAGGGUUCACUCUCUUGUUCGUUUCAUUAGUAUCGAAGUAGCACGUUCUUUUGGGGAUGGCAAAUGAGUGAGAUAUUAAUUCUGAUGAAGAGUAUGGCAUUAGUGAUGAUGGUCAUAAUGAUGAGAAAGAAACUCUUGAUGAUGUCGUUAUGUGGCAAGGAUGCC